rnacentral:sRNA from 1 species
CUUCCCUGAAUCAGACAACCUUUUCAAAUGGGUAGGGACCAUCCAUGGAGCAGCUGGAACAAGAAACUCAAGAUUCUAGCAAGCCCUUUGCGUGGGGCUUGGGUUGGGAUAUGAGGCUGCUGCUGGAGCUUACUCUGCGUCUGUUUCUCCAAAUGCCAGGUAUAUGAAGACCUGAGGUAUAAGCUCUCGCUAGAGUUCCCCAGUGGCUACCCUUACAAUGCGCCCACGGUGAAGUUCCUCACGCCCUGCUAUCACCCCAACGUGGACACCCAGGGUAACAUAUGCCUGGACAUCCUGAAGGAAAAGUGGUCUGCCCUGUAUGACGUCAGGACCAUUCUGCUGUCCAUCCAGAGCCUUCUAGGAGAACCCAACAUUGAUAGUCCCUUGAACACGCAUGCUGCCGAGCUCUGGAAAAACCCCACAGCUUUUAAGAAGUACCUGCAAGAAACCUACUCAAAGCAGGUCACCAGCCAGGAGCCCUGACCCAGGCUGCCCAGCCCGUCCUUGUGUCGUCUUUU